AUAUCAACGGGAGUGGCCAUGGGAUGUGAAAAGUGCUGCCUCUCUGACUUCUGUGUGAGAAAACCACAAAUUUUCAAGCAUUUAAAAUACAGUUUCUGGGUGUCCCUUUGGUCCGAGAACUCUGGAAAAUUCAAAUUUUCAAAGCAGAUGAAACAUCAGCCUUAGAGGCUUCUCUGAGACAGAGCUGUUUCCUCUAACUCACUGAAGACAUUGCUUCAGGGAGAAAAAAUAUAUUUGUUCUCCAUGGCACUUCAUUAUUUGGCUUCCUUGAAAGACCCAUGUAAGGAGAUGGUUGCUUCUGACAGCAAUAGCAGUUGCUGCAGUCCAGAUGAAGAAUCUGACUGUGGUUCUAGGAUAUGUGACACAAACAGUAGCAUGGAUAACACUGCUGUUACAUGGACCAACAGUGGCAGCUCCCUAUCUUUAGAUUUAUUUCACAAGAGUGAACACAAACAAGAGAAGUGUACAAAUGCAGCCAUGUGCCCAAGAAUGGCACAGACUGACAAAGGCCUGGGCUGCCUGAUCAUCCAGGGGUAG
rnacentral:lncRNA from 1 species